rnacentral:rRNA from 1 species
AAUAGAUACCCGGGUAGUCCACGCCGUAAACGGUGGGCACUAGGUGUGGGCGACAUUCCACGUCGUCCGUGCCGCAGCUAACGCAUUAAGUGCCCCGCCUGGGGAGUACGGCCGCAAGGCUAAAACUCAAAGGAAUUGACGGGGGCCCGCACAAGCGGCGGAGCAUGUGGCUUAAUUCGACGCAACGCGAAGAACCUUACCAAGGCUUGACAUACACCGGAAACGUCCAGAGAUGGGCGCCCCCUUGUGGUCGGUGUACAGGUGGUGCAUGGCCGUCGUCAGCUCGUGUCGUGAGAUGUUGGGUUAAGUCCCGCAACGAGCGCAACCCUUGUCCCGUGUUGCCAGCAGGCCCUUGUGGUGCUGGGGACUCACGGGAGACCGCCGGGGUCAACUCGGAGGAAGGUGGGGACGACGUCAAGUCAUCAUGCCCCUUAUGUCUUGGGCUGCACACGUGCUACAAUGGCCGGUACAAUGAGCUGCGAUACCGCGAGGUGGAGCGAAUCUCAAAAAGCCGGUCUCAGCUCGGAUUGGGGU